GUUAAAAAGCUCGUAGUUGGAUUUCUGGCGGGGACCCAAGUACCCCUGGUGGGUGUGCUCGGGCCCGGCCAUCCUUCUGUAAACUUUCGCGCGUCCUUCACCGGUCGGCAAAGGGAUCAGAUAAUUUACCUUGAGAAAAUUAGAGUGUUUCAGGCAGGCUUAGCCGGAAUACAUUAGCAUGGAAUAAUGGAAUAGGACUGAGGUCUCGUUGUUGGUUACGCGGACUACAGUAAUGAUUAAUAGGGACAGUUGGGGGCAUUAGUAUUUAUUAGCUAGAGGUGGAAUUCUCUAAUUUGAUAAAGACUAACUUAUGCGAAAGCAUUUGCCAAGGAUGUUUUCAUCAAUCAAGAACGAAAGUUAGGGGAUCAAAGACGAUCAGAUACCGUCCUAGUCUUAACCAUAAACUAUGCCGACUCGGGAUCGGGAGCGUGUGUUAUCCGCUUUCGGCACCGUAUGAGAAAUCAAAGUCUUUGGGUUUCUGGGGGGAGUAUGGUCGCAAGGGCUGAAACUUAAAGGAAUUGACGGAAGGGCACCACCAGGCGUGGAGCUUGCCGCUCAAUUUGACUCAACACGGGAAAACU
rnacentral:rRNA from 1 species